rnacentral:SRP_RNA from 1 species
GCUGGGCGCGGUGGCACGUGCCUAUAGUCCCAGCUACUUAGGAGGCUCAGGCGGAAGGCUAGCUGGGGUCCGGGAGUCCUGGGCUGCCGUGUGCUCUGCUGAUCGAUCAGGUGUCUGCACUAAGCUUAGCAUCAAUAGGGUGACCUCCCGGGAGCAGGGAACCACCAGGUUGCCUAACGGGGCGGUGAAGCGGCCCAGGCUGGAAACAGAGCAGGUCAGAAUACACUGUUCUUUCCAUGCUCUUUGUCUGGUCGGGCGUUCUGUCUCUGCAGUGAGAAGUCACCGCUGCGUGUGCCAGUCUUCUUUCCCACUCGU